ACAACGGAGAGUUUGAUCCUGGCUCAGGAUGAACGCUGGCGGCGUGCUUAACACAUGCAAGUCGAACGAACCUUCGGGUUAGUGGCGGACGGGUGAGUAACGCGUGAGAAUCUGCCCUCAGGAGGGGGAUAACGGCUGGAAACGGCCGCUAAUACCCCAUAUGCCGCGAGGUGAAAUGAAUUUCGCCUGAGGAUGAGCUCGCGUCUGAUUAGCUAGUUGGUGGGGUAAAAGCCUACCAAGGCUUCGAUCAGUAGCUGGUCUGAGAGGAUGAUCAGCCACACUGGGACUGAGACACGGCCCAGACUCCUACGGGAGGCAGCAGUGGGGAAUUUUCCGCAAUGGGCGAAAGCCUGACGGAGCAACGCCGCGUGAGGGAUGAAGGCCUCUGGGCUGUAAACCUCUUUUAUCAAGGAAGAAGAUCUGACGGUACUUGAUGAAUAAGCCACGGCUAAUUCCGUGCCAGCAGCCGCGGUAAUACGGGAGUGGCAAGCGUUAUCCGGAAUUAUUGGGCGUAAAGCGUCCGCAGGCGGUCUUGUAAGUCUGUUGUUAAAGCGUGGAGCUUAACUCCAUUUCAGCAAUGGAAACUGUAAGACUAGAGUGUGGUAGGGGCAGAGGGAAUUCCCGGUGUAGCGGUGAAAUGCGUAGAUAUCGGGAAGAACACCAGUGGCGAAGGCGCUCUGCUGGGCCAUAACUGACGCUCAUGGACGAAAGCCAGGGGAGCGAAAGGGAUUAGAUACCCCUGUAGUCCUGGCCGUAAACGAUGAACACUAGGUGUCGGGGGAAUCGACCCCCUCGGUGUCGUAGCCAACGCGUUAAGUGUUCCGCCUGGGGAGUACGCACGCAAGUGUGAAACUCAAAGGAAUUGACGGGGGCCCGCACAAGCGGUGGAGUAUGUGGUUUAAUUCGAUGCAACGCGAAGAACCUUACCAGGGUUUGACAUCCUGCGAAUCCCUUGGAAACGAGGGAGUGCCUUCGGGAACGCAGUGACAGGUGGUGCAUGGCUGUCGUCAGCUCGUGUCGUGAGAUGUUGGGUUAAGUCCCGCAACGAGCGCAACCCACGUCGUUAGUUGCCAGCAUUCAGUUGGGCACUCUAGCGAGACCGCCGGUGAUAAACCGGAGGAAGGUGUGGAUGACGUCAAGUCAUCAUGCCCCUUACAUCCUGGGCUACACACGUACUACAAUGCUACGGACAAAGGGCAGCAAACUCGCGAGAGCUAGCAAAUCCCAUAAACCGUGGCUCAGUUCAGAUCGUAGGCUGCAACUCGCCUACGUGAAGGAGGAAUCGCUAGUAAUCGCAGGUCAGCAUACUGCGGUGAAUACGUUCCCGGGCCUUGUACACACCGCCCGUCACACCAUGGAAGUUGGCCACGCCCGAAGCCGUUACUCCAACCCUUGUGGAGGAGGGAUGCCGAAGGUGGGGCUGAUGACUGGGGUGAAGUCGUAACAAGGUAGCCGUACCGGAAGGUGCGGCUGGAUCACCUCCU
rnacentral:rRNA from 1 species